GUAGGGCGCAAGCGUUGUCCGGAAUUAUUGGGCGUAAAGAGCUCGUAGGCGGCUUGUCACGUCGGGUGUGAAAGCCCGGGGCUUAACCCCGGGUCUGCAUUCGAUACGGGCUAGCUAGAGUGUGGUAGGGGAGAUCGGAAUUCCUGGUGUAGCGGUGAAAUGCGCAGAUAUCAGGAGGAACACCGGUGGCGAAGGCGGAUCUCUGGGCCAUUACUGACGCUGAGGAGCGAAAGCGUGGGGAGCGAACAGGAUUAGAUACCCUGGUAGUCCACGCCGUAAACGGUGGGAACUAGGUGUGGGGGACCUCUCCGGUUCUCUGUGCCGCAGCUAACGCAUUAAGCGCCCCGCCUGGGGAGUACGGCCGCAAGGCUA
rnacentral:rRNA from 1 species